GUGCGAACAGUUGAGAGAAACUCUUCACAUUAUUUUAAAACAUGUGGAGAUUUUUUUUGUUUAGAAACAGCAGACGUAGAGGCUUGGAUAGACAUGGAUUGACCUUUCCUGAGACAAAAUUAGCUAUACCCAUGGAGGCUGGACUUCUAUCAAGUAUGAGAGAAGAAAGUUAUAUACGGCUUCUUGUGACUUCUAUGGCCUGAUACAUAUUGAAAUGUGUUUUAUUGCUAUUCCAUACAGGAGAGAAUAUAAAUU